CCAAGCGCGACGGCGAUGCCGAUACUCGCCGCGAUCACCAGCAGAUUAUAGGUGGGCACCUGCACGCCCAUGACGUGCGUCGUGCCAUAGAUCAUGUAGGCGUUAUCCAUGGUGCGCGGCGUCGCGCCCCACGUGAAGCGAAAGACAUCCUGGAACAUCAGGAGCAAGCCGAAUGUAAGCAACAACUGGUAGCUCUCAUCCCGGCGAUAGACCGUACGCAACACACGCUCGAUCGGCAGC
rnacentral:misc_RNA from 1 species